ACUCCUACGGGAGGCAGCAGUGGGGAAUAUUGCACAAUGGGCGCAAGCCUGAUGCAGCAACGCCGCGUGAGCGAAGAAGGUCUUCGGAUCGUAAAGCUCUUUUCUUAGGGAAGAAAAAUGACGGUACCUAAGGAAUAAGCACCGGCUAAAUACGUGCCAGCAGCCGCGGUAAUACGUAUGGUGCAAGCGUUAUCCGGAAUCACUGGGCGUAAAGGGUGCGUAGGCGGUUUUGCAAGUCAGAAGUGAAAGGCUACGGCUCAACCGUAGUAAGCUUUUGAAACUGCAAGACUAGAGUGCAGGAGAGGUAAGUGGAAUUCCUAGUGUAGAGGUGAAAUUCGUAGAUAUUAGGAGGAACACCAGUGGCGAAGGCGACUUACUGGACUGUAACUGACGCUGAGGCACGAAAGCGUGGGGAGCGAACAGGAUUAGAUACCCUGGUAGCACAGAG
rnacentral:rRNA from 1 species